rnacentral:tRNA from 1 species
GCCCCUGUAGCUCAGUCAGGACAGAGCAGAUGACUUCUAAUCAUCAGGUCGCAGGUUCGAAUCCUGCCGGGGGCG